UGUCUAACACUUAGGCAGAUUUUAGAAUUUUCCUUCUAUUUGAUAAAUGCGAUUAUCUUCAAAUUUUGUGUGCUUAUUGGUAAUUUAAUUGUUGAAAAGAAUAUAAAAUUUUAAGAAACAUCAAUAGUUAAUUAAUACAUAUUGAGAUUCUAAAUUGUGCUAGAAUAGAUUGAAUUAGUUAGAUUUUGGUUAGGAUUUGGUUUAGGAUUAGGAUUAGAUUAGGAUUUAGGAUUCGAUUAAGAUUUAGUUAGGAUUUAUGAUUAGAUUAGGAUUUAGGAUUAGAUUAGGAUUUAGGAUUUUUUUAGAGUUUUGUUCAAGAUUUAGGAUUUAUUUAGGGUUUUUUUAGGGUUUGAUUUAAGAUUUAAGAUUUAUUCAGGAUUCAAUUUUAGAUUUAGGAUUUUUUUAGGAUUUAAUUUAAAAUUGAGGAUUUACUUA
rnacentral:lncRNA from 1 species